rnacentral:rRNA from 1 species
UUAAGCGACUAAGCGUACACGGUGGAUGCCCUGGCAGUCAGAGGCGAUGAAGGACGUGCUAAUCUGCGAAAAGCGCCGGCGAGGUGAUAUGAACCUUUGACCCGGCGAUGUCCGAAUGGGGAAACCCAGUGCAAUCCGUUGCACUAUCGUUAACUGAAUACAUAGGUUAACGAGGCGAACCGGGGGAACUGAAACAUCUAAGUACCCCGAGGAAAAGAAAUCAACCGAGAUUCCCCCAGUAGCGGCGAGCGAACGGGGAGCAGCCCGGAGUCUGAAUCAGCUUGUGUGUUAGUGGAACGGUCUGGAAAGUCCGGCGAUACAGGGUGAUAGCCCCGUACACGAAAGCACACAUGCUGUGAACUCGAAGAGUAGGGCGGGACACGUGGUAUCCUGUCUGAAUAUGGGGGGACCAUCCUCCAAGGCUAAAUACUCCUGACUGACCGAUAGUGAACCAGUACCGUGAGGGAAAGGCGAAAAGAACCCCGGCGAGGGGAGUGAAAAAGAACCUGAAACCGUGUACGUACAAGCAGUGGGAGCCUCUUUAUGGGGUGACUGCGUACCUUUUGUAUAAUGGGUCAGCGACUUAUAUUCUGUAGCAAGGUUAACCGUAUAGGGGAGCCGAAGGGAAACCGAGUCUUAACUGGGCGUUAAGUUGCAGGGUAUAGACCCGAAACCCGGUGAUCUAGCCAUGGGCAGGUUGAAGGUUGGGUAACACUAACUGGAGGACCGAACCGACUAAUGUUGAAAAAUUAGCGGAUGACCUGUGGCUGGGGGUGAAAGGCCAAUCAAACCGGGAGAUAGCUGGUUCUCCCCGAAAGCUAUUUAGGUAGCGCCUCGUGAACUCAUCUUCGGGGGUAGAGCACUGUUUCGGCUAGGGGGCCAUCCCGGCUUACCAACCCGAUGCAAACUACGAAUACCGAAGAAUGUUAUCACGGGAGACACACGGCGGGUGCUAACGUCCGUCGUGAAGAGGGAAACAACCCAGACCGCCAGCUAAGGUCCCAAAGUCAUGGUUAAGUGGGAAACGAUGUGGGAAGGCACAGACAGCCAGGAUGUUGGCUUAGAAGCAGCCAUCAUUUAAAGAAAGCGUAAUAGCUCACUGGUCGAGUCGGCCUGCGCGGAAGAUGUAACGGGGCUAAACCAUGCACCGAAGCUGCGGCAGCGACNNNNNNGCGUUGUUGGGUAGGGGAGCGUUCUGUAAGCCGUUGAAGGUGUCCUGUGAGGGGUGCUGGAGGUAUCAGAAGUGCGAAUGCUGACAUAAGUAACGAUAAAGCGGGUGAAAAGCCCGCUCGCCGGAAGACCAAGGGUUCCUGUCCAACGUUAAUCGGGGCAGGGUGAGUCGACCCCUAAGGCGAGGCCGAAAGGCGUAGUCGAUGGGAAACAGGUUAAUAUUCCUGUACUUGGUGUUACUGCGAAGGGGGGACGGAGAAGGCUAUGUCAGCCGGGCGACGGUUGUCCCGGUUUAAGCAUGUAGGCGGAGGUUCCAGGUAAAUCCGGUACCUUGUUAACGCUGAGGUGUGAUGACGAGGCACUACGGUGCUGAAGUGAUAAAUGCCCUGCUUCCAGGAAAAGCCUCUAAGCAUCAGGUAACACGAAAUCGUACCCCAAACCGACACAGGUGGUCAGGUAGAGAAUACCAAGGCGCUUGAGAGAACUCGGGUGAAGGAACUAGGCAAAAUGGUGCCGUAACUUCGGGAGAAGGCACGCUGAUGUGUAGGUGAAGCCCCUGCGGGCGGAGCUGAAAUCAGUCGAAGAUACCAGCUGGCUGCAACUGUUUAUUAAAAACACAGCACUGUGCAAACACGAAAGUGGACGUAUACGGUGUGACGCCUGCCCGGUGCCGGAAGGUUAAUUGAUGGGGUUAGCGGCAACGCGAAGCUCUUGAUCGAAGCCCCGGUAAACGGCGGCCGUAACUAUAACGGUCCUAAGGUAGCGAAAUUCCUUGUCGGGUAAGUUCCGACCUGCACGAAUGGCGUAAUGAUGGCCAGGCUGUCUCCACCCGAGACUCAGUGAAAUUGAACUCGCUGUGAAGAUGCAGUGUACCCGCGGCAAGACGGAAAGACCCCGUGAACCUUUACUAUAGCUUGACACUGAACACUGGUCCUUGAUGUGUAGGAUAGGUGGGAGGCUUUGAAGCGUGGACGCCAGUCUGCGUGGAGCCAACCUUGAAAUACCACCCUUUAAUGGCUGGUGUUCUAACGUAGACCCGUAAUCCGGGUUGCGGACAGUGUCUGGUGGGUAGUUUGACUGGGGCGGUCUCCUCCCAAAGAGUAACGGAGGAGCACGAAGGUUGGCUAAUCCUGGUCGGACAUCAGGAGGUUAGUGCAAUGGCAUAAGCCAGCUUGACUGCGAGCGUGACGGCGCGAGCAGGUGCGAAAGCAGGUCAUAGUGAUCCGGUGGUUCUGAAUGGAAGGGCCAUCGCUCAACGGAUAAAAGGUACUCCGGGGAUAACAGGCUGAUACCGCCCAAGAGUUCAUAUCGACGGCGGUGUUUGGCACCUCGAUGUCGGCUCAUCACAUCCUGGGGCUGAAGUAGGUCCCAAGGGUAUGGCUGUUCGCCAUUUAAAGUGGUACGCGAGCUGGGUUUAGAACGUCGUGAGACAGUUCGGUCCCUAUCUGCCGUGGGCGCUGGAGAAUUGAGGGGGGCUGCUCCUAGUACGAGAGGACCGGAGUGGACGCAUCACUGGUGUUCGGGUUGUCAUGCCAAUGGCACUGCCCGGUAGCUAAAUGCGGAAGAGAUAAGUGCUGAAAGCAUCUAAGCACGAAACUUGCCCCGAGAUGAGUUCUCCCUGAGACUUUAAGUCUCCUGAAGGAACGUUGAAGACGACGACGUUGAUAGGUCGGGUGUGUAAGCGCAGCGAUGCGUUGAGCUAACCGAUACUAAUGAACCGUGAGGCUUAACCUU